rnacentral:rRNA from 1 species
AUUCCAGCUCCAAUAGCGUAUAUUAAAGUUGUUGCAGUUAAAAAGCUCGUAGUUGGAUUUCUGGUUUGAUGCCCUGGCCCGCUUCAAAUUUUGGAGUGUGUGCCGGCUGUGCGUCUGCCAUCCUUCUAGAAAACGUUCGUACCCUUCACUGGGCCGCGUUCGAGAUCUAGAUCUUUUACUUUGAAAAAAUUAGAGUGUUUAAAGCAGGCAGUUGCUAUGAAUACAUUAGCAUGGAAUAAUAAUCUGGGACUUCGGUUCUAUUUUGUUGGUUUCUAGUACUGAAGUAAUGAUUGAUAGGGAUAGUUGGGGGCAUUAGUAUUUAUUAGCUAGAGGUGGAAUUCUCUAAUUUGAUAAAGACUAACUUAUGCGAAAGCAUUUGCCAAGGAUGUUUUCAUCA